UCCUACGGGAGGCAGCAGUGGGGAAUUUUCCGCAAUGGGCGCAAGCCUGACGGAGCAAGACCGCGUGGGGGAGGAAGGCUCUUGGGUUGUAAACCCCUUUUCUCAAGGAAGAAGUUCUGACGGUACUUGAGGAAUCAGCCUCGGCUAACUCCGUGCCAGCAGCCGCGGUAAUACGGAGGAGGCAAGCGUUAUCCGGAAUGAUUGGGCGUAAAGCGUCCGCAGGUGGCCGUUCAAGUCUGCUGUCAAAUCCAGGGGCUCAACUCCUGACCGGCAGUGGAAACUGAGCAGCUAGAGUGCGGUAGGGGCAGAGGGAAUUCCCGGUGUAGCGGUGAAAUGCGUAGAGAUCGGGAAGAACACCGGUGGCGAAAGCGCUCUGCUGGGCCGCAACUGACACUCAGGGACGAAAGCUAGGGGAGCGAAUGGGAUUAGAUACCCCAGUAGUCCUAGCCGUAAACGAUGGAGACUAGGUGUUGCCUGUAUCGACCCGGGCAGUGCCGAAGCUAACGCGUUAAGUCUCCCGCCUGGGGAGUACGCACGCAAGUGUGAAACUCAAAUGAAUUGACGGA
rnacentral:rRNA from 1 species